GCCCGCGAGGCCCUGCCAGGUCUCGAAUCUGGGACAUGCGGAGAUCGAGGGUUCGGAGCCCUCCCCGGGCA
rnacentral:tRNA from 1 species